rnacentral:rRNA from 1 species
GUGAACGCUGGCGGUAGGCCUAACACAUGCAAGUCGAACGGCAGCACAGUAAGAGCUUGCUCUUACGGGUGGCGAGUGGCGGACGGGUGAGGAAUACAUCGGAAUCUACUUUUUCGUGGGGGAUAACGUAGGGAAACUUACGCUAAUACCGCAUACGACCUACGGGUGGAAGCAGGGGAUCUUCGGACCUUGCGCGAUUGAAUGAGCCGAUGUCGGAUUAGCUAGUUGGCGGGGUAAAGGCCCACCAAGGCGACGAUCCGUAGCUGGUCUGAGAGGAUGAUCAGCCACACUGGAACUGAGACACGGUCCAGACUCCUACGGGAGGCAGCAGUGGGGAAUAUUGGACAAAGGGCGCAAGCCUGAUCCAGCCAUACCGCGUGGGUGAAGAAGGCCUUCGGGUUGUAAAGCCCUUUUGUUGGGAAAGAAAAGCAGCAGGUUAAUACCCCGCUGUUCUGACGGUACCCAAAGAAUAAGCACCGGCUAACUUCGUG